CUUCGUUUGCUGCAUUUCAAAUUUCAUAACCAGAUUCAGUACCUUCAUUCCUCUGAUUCUUUCAUCUCCUUUAUAUUCUUUCUUCAGAAAAUCCCAGACGGCUUUAGCUGAACCAAGUGAUAUGACCUUACUGAAGAUGUUAAGAGAAACUGCAGCAAAAAGACAAUUCUUCACUUUGGAUUUUUUAGUCUUUUUCUCCUUGUGUGUUUUGAUCUGAGCCACUGUUGGAUUUCCUGGUAAAGGAGGUACCUCAUAAUCCUCCUCUAUAGCAUUCCACAAAUCACACGCUUCCAAAAAAGCUUCCAUUCUUACUGCC
rnacentral:lncRNA from 1 species